UACAGAGGUCCCAAGCGUUGUUCGGAUUCACUGGGCGUAAAGGGUGCGUAGGUGGUGGGGUAAGUCUGAUGUGAAAUCUCCGAGCUUAACUCGGAAAUGGCAUUGGAAACUACCUUGCUAGAGGUUUGGAGGGGAGACUGGAAUUCUUGGUGUAGCAGUGAAAUGCGUAGAUAUCAAGAGGAACACCGGUGGCGAAAGCGAGUCUCUGGACAAAUCCUGACACUGAGGCACGAAAGCUAGGGGAGCAAACAGG
rnacentral:rRNA from 1 species